AUGGCGUCCUCCGGAGUCGGCGGGAAGCCGUCGAGGUCCGCCAUCGUGGCCGACACGGCCAGCGGGCACCACUUUCUCACCAUCCACGGCUACUCCUGCACCAAGAACCUUCCCACCGGAGAGAAGAUCAGUUCUCGGCCCUUCACAGUCGGCGGCCACCGCUGGCGCAUCGACUACUACCCCAACGGCUCAAGCUCGGCGGUCGCGGACUACGUAUCCCUCUCCCUAAUCCUCGACGAAGAUGUCGCGGCAGCGGUGAAGGCGAAGCACUGCUUCUGCCUCUCUGGGGAGGCGGAGAAAAUUCAGGCGGCGCGGCUGACGUCGUCGUCGGUGGUCACAUUCUCGUCCAGGAGGUCUUGCUUCUACAACUGGUACUCCACCUUCAUCAGAAGAGAGGACCUGCAGAAGUCCAAGAAUCUACAGAACGACUCGUUCACCGUCCGGUGUGAUAUCCUUGUCGUCCAUGGUUACCGCGCCCAGGAUGCGGCGGCGGCGGCUUUCGUCUCCGUGCCCCCGUGCGACCUGCGGGGGGACCUUGGCAAGCUCCUCGAGGCCGAGAAAGGUGCCGACGUGGUGUUUGAGGUUGGGGUCUUCGCAGCCGAGCUCUUCGGACCAAUGAAGGAGGGCAAGGUCGAAAGCGGCAUUGUGCGCGUGGAAGACAUGGAGGCGGAGGUGUUCAAGGCGCUGCUCCGUUUCGUGUACACCGGCUUGUUGCCUGAGAUGCGCAAGGAAGAGGAAGAUGUCACCUGCCAGCAUCUGCUCGUCGCGGCAGACAGGUAUGGAAUGGACCGGCUGAAGCUGAUCUGUGAGGAGAAGCUGUGUGAGUACAUUGACGUCAGCACUGCAGCGACUAUCCUGCUACUAGCCGAGCAACAUCACUGUGAGGGGUUGAAGAAGGCGUGCUUCGAUUUUCUUGCGGCUCCGACAAAUCUGAGGGCAACCGUAGCCACCGAUGGCUUACAACAUCUUAGCGUGAGCUGCCCAUCUCUUAUGGUCAAGCUGAUGGCCAUGUCCUUGGGGCAUUAG
rnacentral:rRNA from 1 species